GAGCACCAGUGGAGCUACCUGAUCCUCGAGACCUCUUGUCCUGCCUCUCCUCUCUCUCCUAACGACGAGCCAUCUCAAUAUCACGAUCUACAUCCAUUGCCUUCUCAAAGGUAUGGCUCAGAACCCUCUCUCGAGUCAUCAAAUACGGAUAGGAUAAAUGAGUCCUUCCACAAACCGUCUAUCCUCUCCUAAUCCGUCGGAACCAUCCACAGAGCAUAACGAGCUAACUUAGAGACUCUCACCUCAUACUGUGUCACAGACAUAUCCCCCUGACGUAGCCACUCAAACUGCCUGCGCAACUCCUCCAUCUGGGAUCGUGGUACCCACUUCUCUAGAAAGAUAGUGGAGAACUCCUACAAAGCCAACGAUGCUGGACCUACCCGCCUACGCCGCUCAUAUGCCUCCCACCAUGUAAAGGCUGCUCCUGAGAACUAAUAAGUGGUGAAAGAUACCCCGCUCGUCUCUAAGAUCCCUGUUGUCCGAAGCAUACAUCGACACUUGUCGAGAAACCCCUGGGCAUCCUCACUCAGAAUACCGCUAAAAGUAGGGGGUAAAAGCGUGCUGAACCUCUCAAGAUGAUGCUACUCAUCAUCUUGCAUUACUGGUACCCCAUCACCCUAAAAUGGAAGCUGCGGGG
rnacentral:lncRNA from 1 species